UACGUAGGGGGCUAGCGUUGUCCGGAAUCAUUGGGCGUAAAGCGCGUGUAGGCGGUCCGGUAAGUCCGCUGUGAAAGUCGGGGGCUCAACCCUCGGAUGCCGGUGGAUACUGUCGGGCUUGAGUACGGAAGAGGCGAGUGGAAUUCCUGGUGUAGCGGUGAAAUGCGCAGAUAUCGAGAGGAACACCUGCGGCGAAGGCGGGUUGCUGGGCUGAUACUGACGCUGGGGCGCGAAAGCCGGGGAGCGAA
rnacentral:rRNA from 1 species